rnacentral:rRNA from 1 species
GACGAACGCUGGCGGCGUGCUUAACACAUGCACGUCGAACGGAGUGGCGAACGGGUGAGUAACACGUGGGUGACCUGCCCUGCACUUCGGGAUAAGCCUGGGAAACUGGGUCUAAUACCGGAUAGUGUGGGAUGGGCGCGCGGCCUAUCAGCUUGUUGGUGGGGUAAUGGCCUACCAAGGCGGCGACGGGUAGCCGGCCUGAGAGGGUGGACGGCCACAUUGGGACUUAGACACGGCCCAGACUCCUACCGUAGGCAGCAGUCGGGAGUAUUGCACAAUGGGCGGAAGCCUGAGACAGCGACGCUGCGUGGGUGAUGACGGCCGUCUGGGUGUAAACUCCUUUCACCAUCGACGCGGUAGAUGGAGAAGAAGCACCGGCUAACUACGUGCCAGCAGCCGCGGUAAUUC